GUAAUUUUUUAAAGCUAUGGAAAUAGAAGUGAAAACAUAAAAAACUAAGAAGAAUGGACUAGGAGGUCUAAUAUCUGACUAAUAAGAUCUCUAAACGGACAGAUUAGAGUAAAACUGUGGAGAAAAAAAAUUUUGAAAGAAAUAAUAUAAGAAGAUGAGGUCCCAGAACUAAAGGGCAUGAUUCUACAGAUUAAAGGGUCCAUUGAGUGCCUAUCAAACUUAAGAAGAAAUCCAACAUCAUUGUGAGUUUUAAGAACACAAGAGAUGAAGGUCCUAACGGUUUCCAGAGAGAAAAAUUAGAAUUCCAUUGAACUUCUUAACAGCAAUCAGAACAUAGAACAUAAUGGAAGAAUACCUUAAAAAUUCUGAGUGCUUUACAGUAAAAUUCUAUGCUUAUCUACUCUAUAAGUGAGGAGAACCUAGAGACAUUCUAAGAUGUAUAAGGACUCAAACAGAGAGGUUUCAAAUGAAGAACAACCAGUUCAUACUGAAGCAGGUUCCAAUGAGCAGAUAUACCACACUGGAUCUGCAGGCUUAAGCAACCAACCUUAGCCAGCAACCAUUCAUAGGAACUCAUAACUCCUGUGGAGCAUGGAGAGGGUGUCAUCUGGUUCUCAGGCAGCUGGGUUACAGUUUCUUCUGGAAUGUGGACAAACUCAGUGACUUGCUUUUGACCAAUAGGAAAAGUGAAAGUAAAGGUCUGUGGCUUUGGAGGCUAAGUCAUAAAAGGUACCGUGGCUUCUUCCUUGCUCUCUCUUGGAUUGCUCACUCUGGAGGAAGUUACCAUAUUUUGAAGACAGGUCCACCUUGUGAGGAGCUGAGGACUCCAGCCAACAGCCAGGAAAACUCCAGAUACCCACUACUUUUUACCUGGUCCCGUGCAGAAUGCUGUGGGUUUUAUAUUCUAACUGAAGCCACUGUACUCGCUAUGGCAGAAACUGACAAUGAAGUAAGAGACAAGUGAAACCAAGAAGAUAGGAGCUACUUGCUGGCGAAUUAGUAGAACAUAAAGGCUCAUGUUGUAUGUGUUGCAAGACCCUAACCACAACCUCUCUAUUCAGAAGACCAGCCAAGCUAAGUCAGACUGUGGCCCACAUUUCAGGGGACAUGAGGGACACCACCAGAACUUCACAGACGUAUGGCAUUUGGGACACACUCUCUAGAGAAAUGUGCCUUUGAAAGAGGAACAGAGAAGGAAGAAUCCAAUGGGGCUAGAAAACUAAAAAUUACAUUGGCUGAUUCCCUGGCAGCUGGGAUUCUGGAAGCACUAAAACACCAAAUAAAUACACUCCCACACAAUUUUGAAGAUGAAAAGAGGAAAACGAUUUUUCUGCUAAUGUUUCUGCUAUGAGAGACAGUAGCUGCAGGCAAAUUCAGCAUUCCUGUUGGGACAGUGGCCUUGGGGGUAUCAUACAUCAGUCCUAGCAGUGUGAUCAGCCAAUGCACCCUGAUCUCUGAUGAGUCCCAGCUACGUUGGAGACCAGUUAAGCCCAGCUGUGGGUCCCUGCCUCUUGCUCCUCCCCGUCGUCAAAUAAUUUUUGAAGUCACCAGACUGUUUGGAGGGAACAGCCUGACAGCCACAAAGUCUUGGCAAGGUCCCCAUUGACUGGCCAACGUUUCCCAAAGUCACUUCGUUCUAAUUCCCAAAGCUGUUGCCAGAGCACGUGAUACAGUUAAAGGCGGCCUAUGCCCUGUGUGCUGCUUACAUGCUUCCGGGACGUUCCCAUGGUCAGAGGCUCACUGGCAGAUGAAAGCCUGUGAUGUGACCCAAUACUAAGCCGGCCCACAGAUUCGCCCUCAAGACAAUUGUUUGGAAGAUCCCUAUGGAAGGAGAUUCUGGACCACCUGCCAGGCAUGUACCUGAAUGAUUAUUGAAACCAUAAAAGACCAUGUAUUUAUGUUGAUUGCACAGAGACGAGGAACCCAGCAGCCCACCAGGUGCUCCUUGCCAUUUGGAUGCUCUUGUGGAUACUCCUCAAACUAUGUGUCUGCCGACUCCCAGCACCAUCACUAGAAAAGGGCUCCAGACCAGGAAAUUGAGGCCAAUGAUAGCAAAGCCUGAAACUGUUGUCUUCUUUACAGUGAAGAGUUGUAAAAGGCAUGGAAACAACCUCACCAGUGAACUGCAUCCUGCCAGCCUUCCACUGAAUUGCCUUUCUGGCUUGGGAGGACUCAGCUGGUUGAAAAUUGCACAUCUUUUCAGAAACAGGCAGGGGAGCGUGCCUGCAUCUGUAGCUCUAAACUUUAAAAGCGGAGUGUCGCUGACCGACCUAUUCUGUGCUCACGGAGAGAUGUCUUGUGACCUGGAUUACAUACUCUGCUGCCUGAGGAAUGGGUGGAGUUAGUCUGAGCCCCCGAAGCACCCACAGAGCCCAGCUCUGUGCCUGGCAUGUGUUAGAAACCGAGUAUUUGCUGAAUAAGACACAGUAACUCAAAGCCAAAGACGUCAGUCAUCAUGCACUGCUUGCUCCACUUCCAGAUUUUUGUGGAAGCCCAGAGUCUCAGUCCUACCAUGUGUAAAAUGGGGAUAAUACUACCAGCCCCACUUAGGUCACAGCAUUAGUGUUAAGACCAAAUGAGAUCGUGUUGUGAGUUUGUUCUAGCAAGCACAUAAAUUGUUUUUAUAAUGAUCUAAAUAAAAAAGCCUCACCCACCAAGGCUUGCAUACACAUUUAUUAAGAUGUAGGCAAGUGAAAUGUGUCCGCUCCUCCUCUUGAGUACAACCUUCUUUAUUGAUGUGUAACAGUGCCCAAGGGCUGGGUGAACUACAUAAUCAAAAUCAAAUGCCAGCUUUCUACAGACUUGGCCAAAACAGCACAGCCCAAAACACCAUUUUAAACUGCAAGAAAUCUGAGGACAUUUCAUUCAUAGUCUUGCUUUUUACUGUUGUUGAUAUAUACACCUUAAUUUCAAUGCCCGUUGCAGAUCCACAUUUAAAAAGAAAAGAGCUCUUAUUCUAAUUUGGUAGAAAGCAGAGCUAUCGGUGUGAAGGACAAUGCAAUAUCAAAAUACAGAUGCUUUUCAUCCAUACUAGUCUAAAUUAGAAACAUGCUGCCAUUCACAGGGGCUCUAAUAACACGUGCACGUAAGCAGUACUGAGGCCUACGGGCCGUGUGGGUUUCUACCCAGCAUCCUCACCCUACUCUGGGUCCUCAUCCUCAUCUGAAAAAUGGGGGACCGACUUCUUUGCGACAACGUUGUCCAGUCUCUGUCCUUGUAGAUAUGGAUUGAUACUCUGGAAAAAAAAAAAAAAAAAAAAAAGUUUGGUAUUAUACCUGAACAUCAGA